UUUGGGCCUAUGGGUUAUGGGUUAUGAACGUCUCUGGCUCCCACGUUUUCCAAGUUCUUAAUCUUCUUUGAUUUUAGGCACAAUUGGGAGUGGUUAAUGAGUGGGUCGAGGUGGGCUCAACCGAUGUAGAACUGGCCCCAUCAUUUUCCCUCUCCUCUCUUCCUUGUUCAGCGCCACAUCCCUCCUAUGACCAUCUUCGGCGACCACCUCGACGCGACGCUUGCAUCUCUGAUCGUCCUUUAGCAACGUUGACGAGCAUUCGUUAAGUGGGGGUGUACCCAGGCUAGCGAGCGACGGGCUCUCUCCCUCUCGCCUCUGGUGCGAGCAGCAACACACGAACGUUCUGGCGAUUGGAAAUUUCCGACCAGCGGCGACCCGAUCCACGGCACCCACGCUCUUCUGCGAUCGAUCUCCUCCCUCUCUUACGGUGGCGACAAAGCUGUUUAAACACCUUCGAAGACAUUUCGUUAAGGAUUGAAGCUGUUAUUGUGAGAAACAUUGGGUGGAAGCUAACAAUUGAGUGAGAGAUGUCGUACUUGCUGCCGCAUCUUCAUUCAGGAUGGGCUGUUGACCAGGCAAUUCUGGCUGAAGAAGAGCGCCUUGUGGUCAUUCGUUUUGGUCAUGACUGGGACGAGACUUGUAUGCAGAUGGAUGAAGUGUUGGCAUCAGUAGCAGAGACGAUCAAGAACUUCGCAGUGAUAUACCUUGUGGAUAUCACAGAGGUUCCUGACUUCAACACAAUGUACGAGCUGUAUGAUCCAUCCACUGUGAUGUUCUUCUUCAGGAACAAGCACAUAAUGAUAGAUCUUGGGACCGGAAACAACAAUAAAAUAAACUGGGCACUUAAGGAUAAGCAGGAGUUCAUAGAUAUCAUUGAAACAGUGUAUCGUGGAGCAAGGAAAGGACGCGGUUUGGUCAUUGCACCAAAGGACUAUUCAACCAAGUAUCGCUACUAACAUGUUUUGCUGCUGCUGCAUCUGCUACUUCUUCUAUGUUUUGGAUAAAUUUGUGGAAAUAAAAGAUUCAAAUACUACACAGUCGGAAUCCAAAGCUACCAAUGGACAUUUCUUACAGGUUUCAUGUGUGUUUUAUACUUCCAAUGUCAUUACGCAA